rnacentral:rRNA from 1 species
CCCUUAGAUGUUCUGGGCCGCACGCGCGCUACACUGAUGCAUUCAACGAGUCUAAAACCUGCUCUGAUAGGGGUGGGUAAUCUUUUGAAUGUGCAUCGUGAUUGGGAUAGAUGAUUGCAAUUUUUCAUCUUCAACGAGGAAUGCCUAGUAAACGCAAGUCAUCAGCUUGCAUUGAUUACGUCCCUGCCCAUUGUACACACCGCCCGUCGCUCCUACCGAUUGAAUGAUCCGAUGAAUAUCAUGGAUUGAGGAUGCAAGCAGGUUCGCCUGUCUUCAUCUUCGAGAAGUGAAGUAAAUCUUAUCAUUUAGAGGAAGGAGAAGUCGUAACA